rnacentral:rRNA from 1 species
UACCAGCACCCCGAGUGGUCGGGACGUUUAUUGGGCCUAAAGCAUCCGUAGCCGGUUCUACAAGUCUUCCGUUAAAUCCACCUGCUUAACAGAUGGGCUGCGGAAGAUACUAUGGAGCUAGGAGGCGGGAGAGGCAAGCGGUACUCGAUGGGUAGGGGUAAAAUCCGUUGAUCCAUUGAAGACCACCAGUGGCGAAGGCGGCUUGCCAGAACGCGCUCGACGGUGAGGGAUGAAAGCGUGGGGAGCGAACAGG